CCCAGAUCUUGAGAAGAUAUCUCCUGCCACAGUCUGUGGCCUCGUGGAGAUGUCUGACUCUGAACGGUGAAUAGCAUGAAAAAUGUAGUGUUCGCAACUUCUUUUUUCAUGCAUUUGUGCAGAGGAGGUACCUUUAGAUUCCUCUGGUGGCUGGUGAAAUCUAAACAUAAAACAGUUCCUGUCUUUGAUGAAGUCAAAUAUUAGACUCCUGAACUGAGAUCAGAAUCAGCAGUGGAGCAUUUAGAUCUUAAUGACAUUAUUGUGAGCACCACUGGGACUGUUAUGCAGAUGUACUGCGUACUGGAGAAGUUGCUGCUUCAGGAUAAGCCA
ensembl:lncRNA